AGAGGAUCUUGCCAUUUACCAUUCACAGCAAAGAAGUCUUUCAUUAGUAAACGUCUUUAAACGAUUAAAAAAGAAGAAGAAGAAGAAAAAAAAGGAUUUAUAUGAGCAUGCAAUAAUUGUAAACAAUAUGAUCAUUUGAUUUUGCCUUUCGUGAAACUAUUUUUUAAUAUGCCUUUUUCAUAAACAAACAAUAAACACUAUAAUCAACCAACAUUUUCCCAAAUUCCCAAUUAAAGUCAUUGAUCGGUAUAAUCACGAUCAUCAAAAAAAAAUUAUAAAUCCUUUACGAUUUGUCGGUUCUGUGAAAACGAUACACUCACGCAUAUUCAUAUACAUAUUCAUGGCAAGAAAACAUUAGGCUCUUCGAGACUGCAAAAACAAACGAUGCUCUAAAUCCUUUUCGGACAAUUUGGAUUCAGUGGUAAUCGUAUUACUGAGCGUUCUUCUAAACUUUCCUUUUUUCUGUGGAUUGGUCAAGCUUCUUCGAAUGCUUUUCCAAAUUUCGACAUAAAAAAAGUAAAACAUCACUGCAACGGCAACAACUCCCCAUUCCCAUCCAAUAUACGUAUGCUUGAAAACGUCUCUAUUAAUAACAGGAAUGUAGAUGGUAGGAAACACCGAAACAGCUGCAAGGGCAAUGGCCCAAGCGAGGAAUUUGUUUUCAACCAACGUAUGGAGAAAAUAACGGAAGUUCCAUUCACCCCAAGGAAUCCCAUGAAGGUUGAAUAGGGAGUUGUCAAAGUUUUUCACCUCGACUGCCAUAAUAAGGAUGCAAAAGGUCACAACUGCAAAAACAGCAGACCGUGCUUUGAAAACAUCGUUGCAUCCAGCAUGAUAGUGGGCAUUGCAAUCAUAUGAUAAAUUGCCUGUACCGAAUCCAUACAUUAUGACAACCCAAGUCAUAAGACUAACGACUCCAAGGAAAAAUCCAUACACCAUCAUGUCAACAAUUAGACUCUUUUGGAAAAUACCAACUUUGUUGUCGUGAGGGAGACGCUCCAUUACAUCAGGUUGAGCUAGCUCCAUUCCCAGUCCCAUCGAAGGAAAAGAGGAGGUAAUCAUAUUACACCAAAGAAUUUCUACGGGAGACAUUGGGAACACGGAAAGAUGAACCUCGUCUCUAAAGGCCAAGCCGACCACCAAGAGUAUUACUUCGCCCACGUUUGAAACAAGCAAGUGCAGAACAAACCUCAUGAUGUUAUCAAACAUACGGCGUCCUUCUUCAAUGGCAUUGACAAUGGACGAGAAAUUGUCGUCCGUUAAAACAAUAUCACUAGCAUCUUUGGCUACAUCACUUCCGUUUUGACCCAUUGCGAUUCCUACGUUAGCUUGCUUCAAAGAUGGAGAAUCGUUAACGCCAUCACCUGUCAUCGCUACAAACGCCUUUCUUCUAUGCAAGGCUUCAAUCAUUUUCACCUUUGUCUGAGGAGCACAGCGAGCAAUAACUAGACAAAGAGCUUUCAAUGAAUCAACUUCUUCAUCACUAAGAGCAUCAAACUGUGAACCGGUCAUCACCAUCCAUGACAUAUUAGGAUCUCGAUCAGAGAUAAAUGGAGGUAUAAUUCCAACUUCUCUUGCAAUAGCUUUUGCGGUUUCCGGAUGAUCUCCAGUAAGCAUGUGGACUCGAAUACCUGCGCGAUGGCAAAGUUCCACUGCACCUUUCGAUUCAGUUCUUGGGGGAUCGUAAAUACCUACAAGAGAUACAAACUCUAGAGAAGACUCGGCUACAUCUCUCGGCAAUGUUUCCCAAUUGUCUGCCUUGUCUAUAACCUUCGUUGCUAGAGCUAAGACGCGCAAACCUUCUGCUGCAAGUGUUUCCAUUUGUGCUAUUAUUAAUUCACGAUCGGGUUCUUCCAGCGUAGAUCCGUUUGAAGUAGAACAUCUUUCCAAAAUCCUUUCAACAGCACCUUUGGCGUACACGGUGUACUGACCCUGUUGGUCUUCAUAUAUAACAGCCAUACGCUUAAUUUCCGAGUCAAAUGGAUAUUCACGAACGAAAGUAUUCGUCUUUAGCAAAUCUUCCUUACCAUAAUUGAAUCUUUUCGAAAAUACAUGUAAAGCAAUUUCUGUUGGCUCGCCUUUUACAACCCACUCACCUGUCUCAGUUUGGUUCACUGUACUAAGGUUGCACAACGCGCAAGUUUUUAGUAAUGGGAUGAACUGGUCAGAAGGCUGGUUUGAAGGGUCAAUGUUUUUCAUCUCUUGCUUCUUUUCUUUCAACACAUCUUGCAUCGCAGCUUCAAGGCCAGAUACAGUGCCAAUUGUAGGAUUAUUGGCGUCAGAAGUAUCAACACUCAAAUAACCAUAUGAGGGAAUCCAAACGCGUCUAGUAAUCAUUUUACCCUGGGUAAUAGUACCUGUCUUGUCAGAGCAAAUGUCAGUAACACCUCCUAAGGCUUCAAGCGCCUCUAGUUUUCGAACGAUUACACGACGUUUUGACAUGUUCUUUUGGCCCAUAGCCAUCGUAAUCGACAAUACAGCAAUGAGUGAUUCGGGAAUGAUGGAAAUACCAAGGGAUAUAGCGUAAAUAGAAACUUCGUUGGUCACAUGGAAACUGUGGGCGGCCAUAACGAUGAUGGCCAGUAUAAUGGCAAUGCAAAAAAGAAUAUAAGCAAGAACAGUUAAUUUCCUUUGAAGAGGUGUUCCUACGUUGAGGCCCAAAACCCUUUGAACAUAAUAAGAAGUGACUUUAAGAUAGUACUUGUUCAGUUUACGACGGUAAUUUGGCUCAUCUUUUUCAGGACGUUGAAAGAGCUUUCCUUUUUGUCUUAAACCAGCUGCAAUAGCUCCAAUUUGCGUUUGCAUACCGGUUGCGUAACAAAUUCCCUUGGCACGACCUUUAGUCACAAUGGAAGAGGAAUAUGCAAGGUUGAUACGAUCACCAAUGGGAACAUCUUCGUUCAUUUGAAAAGUAGCGUGUGCAUCUUUUAUCACUGGAAGCGACUCACCAGUCAACAAUGCUUCAUCUGUCUCAAAGUUUACCGUUUCCACCAACCGAAGAUCAGCGGGUACAACAUCACCAGUUUUUAGCACGACUACAUCCCCAGGAACUAAAAGGUGGGAGUCAAUAGCAUCAGUCUUACUCGAGCGUGUGACAUGCGCCAUAGGAGAAGCCAAUGUUCGCAAUGAGUCCAUAGUUUUCUCGGCUUUAUAUUCUUGGAUAAAGCCAACGGUGAUAUUAAGAACAAUAAUUGCAGAAAUGACACCACCUUCAAUCCAAUCAGUGGUACCAAAAGACAAAGCGGCGGCCAGGAUCAAGACAACACACAUUGCGUUCAAUACCUGGCGCAACAAGACUUUCCAGGCUGAGACACCAGAGUCGGCUUCCAGUCUAUUUUCUCCAUAUUCGGAAAGACGAUUUUGAGCCUCUUCAUGGGUAAGUCCAUUGGGGAUAGACGUAAGGAAUUCUGAUUCAACAUCUUUAAUGUCAGAGAAAUAAACGGGAUUCGAGAUAUUAAUGGUUACCAUUGAACAAUAUUUGAGAUUGAAUCAAGGAAGUAAGAAUAUAUCGGGAUGAGUAGAAGGGGAGAAAUAUAAGUAAAAUCAAAAAAGCAACUGGUUUUGUUUUCCAAAAGAAAUGUAGGAAGGAAAAGGUUUAUGUCUGAAUAUAAAAGUAAAAAAGCGGUAGUGAGGAGAAGG